AUUGAACGCUGGCGGCAUGCCUUACACAUGCAAGUCGAACGGCAGCACGGGUGCUUGCACCUGGUGGCGAGUGGCGAACGGGUGAGUAAUACAUCGGAACGUACCUUAUCGUGGGGGAUAACGCAGCGAAAGCUGUGCUAAUACCGCAUACGACCUGAGGGGGAAAGCGGGGGAUCGCAAGACCUCGCGCGAUGAGAAGUGCAGAUGCCUGAUUAGCUUGUUGGUGGGGUAAAAGCCCACCAAGGAGACGAUCAGUAGCUGGUCUGAGAGGACGAUCAGCCACACUGGGACUGAGACACGGCCCAGACUCCUACGGGAGGCAGCAGUGGGGAAUUUUGGACAAUGGGGGCAACCCUGAUCCAGCAAUGCCGCGUGAGUGAAGAAGGCCUUCGGGUUGUAAAGCUCUUUUGUCAGGGAAGAAACACCGGCUCUAACACAGUCUGGGAAUGACGGUACCUGAAGAAUAAGCACCGGCUAACUACGUGCCAGCAGCCGCCGUAA
rnacentral:rRNA from 1 species